UACGUAGGGUGCAAGCGUUGUCCGGAAUUAUUGGGCGUAAAGAGCUCGUAGGCGGUCUGUCGCGUCGGCUGUGAAAACCCGAGGCUCAACCUCGGGCCUGCAGUCGAUACGGGCAAACUAGAGUACUGCAGGGGGAGACUGGAAUUCCUGGUGUAGCGGUGAAAUGCGCAGAUAUCAGGAGGAACACCGGUGGCGAAGGCGGAUCUCUGGGCCAUUACUGACGCUGAGGAGCGAAAGCUAGGGGGAGCGAACGGG
rnacentral:rRNA from 1 species